CCCUUCUGAUGCUAAAAUUCUGUGAUUCAUCCUCUCUCCCUCAUAGGCCUUUAUCAAUAGCUUCUCUCAGGCUGUGGCCUUGGAAUACCAGUCUUCUGGAGUCAUCAUCCAGACUAUUACCCCUCUGAUAGUUUCCAGCAACAUGAGCCAGAUAUCCCCCAGAAAAUUCUUGGUGAAAUCUGCAGAUGACUUUGCCAGAGAAGCCUUGGACACUGUGGGAGUCACUAACUUCACCACAGGCUGUUUCAUACACUUUGUCCAUAGCUUGCUGGUGUGGCCAUUGUUCGCCAACCUCAAAUUCAUCAUCCCAAUUCUGACGUUCUUCAGUUCUCUAUUCAGAAGAUCCUGAAGAAGUUGUGGGAAGGAGGUUGGGGGCUGAAUUUGAGGCCCUUUGUGGGAGGAAUGGGAUGUGACUAUUGCUAGAGGGACGAGGGGGGCCAACAGAGGGGUUUCCUCUCAUUGAUUCAUCCCUUUGUCCUGCUCUCCAGGGUCUAUUCAAGAAGGAACCCCAGCCCCGAGAAGCAAUACCUGUAACUUGCUAUAAUAAAUGGCUUUCUCUGGCCAAGCACA